UACGGGGGGGGCAAGCGUUGUUCGGAAUUACUGGGCGUAAAGGGCGUGUAGGCGGCCUGACAAGUCGAAUGUGAAAUCCCGGAGCUCAACUCCGGAACUGCGGACGAUACUGUUAGGCUCGAGUCUCGGAGAGGAUGGCGGAAUUUCCGGUGUAGAGGUGAAAUUCGUAGAUAUCGGAAGGAACACCAGUGGCGAAGGCGGCCGUCUGGACGAUGACUGACGCUGAGACGCGAAAGCGUGGGGAGCAAACAGG
rnacentral:rRNA from 1 species